rnacentral:lncRNA from 1 species
GCUCUUAGAGCCAAGGCCUGCCAUCUUCUAGAACACUUCUUGCCUUUAGAGCAAUAGUAGAAAUCUUUACUUAUUUUCUUCUUCAGUUUAAUAGAAAGGACAAAGAAAAAACAAGCAAUGGGCAAUGAUCAAAGAGAGGAAAACAACAACAAAAUACCCUGAGGAAGCUCAGAGAUGUCAACAGUGGGUCCUUAUGAGUCAGGAAGUAAUAAUAGAAGAAGAUUCCUGAACCCAAGGUUCUGAGUGGAAUUGAAUGUGGAUAAAAUAAGGUAAAAUGAAAAAAACUGUUAUGGUUAAAGACCUAGAAGCAUACAUGAUGAGCAUCAUAAAUUAUACUGUAUUAAAAUAAUUAUUAAUAUUAUUCUAAUUUUUUAACAAACAAUAAUAUUCUUGGUGAUUAUGGUUGAAAGGAGGCCAAAUAGUAGCAACAAUAUGACUAUUAUAUACAGGUU